rnacentral:rRNA from 1 species
CAAAGAUUAAGCCAUGCAUGUCUCAGUGCAAGCCGAAUUAAGGUGAAACCGCGAAAGGCUCAUUAAAUCAGCUAUGAUUCAAUUGAUGGUACGAUCACGGUUACUUGGAUAACUGUGGCAAUUCUAGAGCUAAUACAUGCUAAACGAGUUCCGACCGCGGGUUCGAACGAUCUCGCGGAACGAAUGCUUUUAUUAGAACAAAACCAAUCGGAUCUCAAUCGANAUCCGCAAAUCUAUGACGAAUCUGAAUAACUUUGAGCUGAUCGCACGGUCUCUGGAACCGGCGACGCAUCUUUCAAAUGUCUGACUUAUCAACUUUCGAUGGUAGGCUACGCGCCUACCAUGGUGAUAACGGGUGACGGGGAAUCAGGGUUCGAUCCCGGAGAGGGAGCCUGAGAAACGGCUACCACAUCCAAGGAAGGCAGCAGGCGCGCAAAUUACCCACUCCCGGCACGGGGAGGUAGUGACGAAAAAUAACGAUGCAGGACUCUUUUCGAGGCUCUGCAAUCGGAAUGAGAACACUCUAAAUCAUUUAACGAGUAUCCAUUGGAGGGCAAGUCUGG